rnacentral:rRNA from 1 species
AGAGUUUGAUCCUGGCUCAGAGUGAACGCUGGCGGUAGGCCUAACACAUGCAAGUCGAACGGCAGCACAGGAGAGCUUGCUCUCUGGGUGGCGAGUGGCGGACGGGUGAGGAAUACAUCGGAAUCUACUUUUUCGUGGGGGAUAACGUAGGGAAACUUACGCUAAUACCGCAUACGACCUACGGGUGAAAGCAGGGGAUCUUCGGACCUUGCGCGAUUGAAUGAGCCGAUGUCGGAUUAGCUAGUUGGCGGGGUAAAGGCCCACCAAGGCGACGAUCCGUAGCUGGUCUGAGAGGAUGAUCAGCCACACUGGAACUGAGACACGGUCCAGACUCCUACGGGAGGCAGCAGUGGGGAAUAUUGGACAAUGGGCGCAAGCCUGAUCCAGCCAUACCGCGUGGGUGAAGAAGGCCUUCGGGUUGUAAAGCCCUUUUGUUGGGAAAGAAAUCCAGCUGGCUAAUACCCGGUUGGGAUGACGGUACCCAAAGAAUAAGCACCGGCUAACUUCGUGCCAGCAGCCGCGGUAAUACGAAGGGUGCAAGCGUUACUCGGAAUUACUGGGCGUAAAGCGUGCGUAGGUGGUCGUUUAAGUCCGUUGUGAAAGCCCUGGGCUCAACCUGGGAACUGCAGUGGAUACUGGGCGACUAGAGUGUGGUAGAGGGUAGCGGAAUUCCUGGUGUAGCAGUGAAAUGCGUAGAGAUCAGGAGGAACAUCCCAUGGCGAAAGGCAGCUACCUGGACCAACACUGACACUGA